UCGGGAAUAUUGCGCAAUGGAGGAAACUCUGACGCAGUGACGCCGCGUGCAGGAAGAAGGUUUUCGGAUUGUAAACUGCUUUAGACAGGGACGAAACAAAUGACGGUACCUGUAGAAUAAGCUCCGGCUAACUACGUGCCAGCAGCCGCGGUAAUACGUAGGUGGCAAGCGUUGUCCGGAAUUAUUGGGCGUAAAGAGCAUGUAGGCGGGCUUUUAAGUCCGACGUGAAAAUGCGGGGCUUAACCCCGUAUGGCGUUGGAUACUGGAAGUCUUGAGUGCAGGAGAGGAAAGGGGAAUUCCCAGUGUAGCGGUGAAAUGCGUAGAUAUUAGGAGGAACACCAGUGGCGAAGGCGAUCUGCUGGACAGCAACUGACGCUGAGGCGCGAAAGCGUGGGGAG
rnacentral:rRNA from 1 species